rnacentral:rRNA from 1 species
GGGGAAUUUUGCGCAAUGGGCGAAAGCCUGACGCAGCAACGCCGCGUGAGUGAUGAAGGCCCUCGGGUCGUAAAGCUCUGUCAGGGGGAAAGAAGUGUAUUGUGGUUAAUACCCGCGAUACUUGACGGUACCCCCAAAGGAAGCACCGGCUAACUCCGUGCCAGCAGCCGCGGUAAUACGGAGGGUGCAAGCGUUGUUCGGAAUUAUUGGGCGUAAAGCGCGUGUAGGCGGUUUUAUAAGUCUGAUGUGAAAGCCCCGGGCUCAACCUGGGAAGUGCAUUGGAAACUGUAAGACUUGAAUACGGGAGAGGGUAGUGGAAUUCCUGGUGUAGGAGUGAAAUCCGUAGAUAUCAGGAGGAACACCGGUGGCGAAGGCGGCUGCCUGGACCGAUAUUGACGCUGAGACGCGAAAGCGUGGGUAGCAAAC